CCUACGGGAGGCAGCAGUGGGGAAUCUUGCACAAUGGAGGGAACUCUGAUGCAGCGAUGCCGCGUGAGUGAAGAAGGCCUUUGGGUUGUAAAGCUCUUUUGUAGGGGAAGAUAAUGACUGUACCCUAAGAAUAAGGUCCGGCUAACUUCGUGCCAGCAGCCGCGGUAAUACGAAGGGACCUAGCGUAGUUCGGAAUUACUGGGCGUAAAGCGCGCGUAGGCCGUUGAGUUAGUUAAUUGUGAAAUCCCAAAGCUUAACUUUGGAACUGCAAUUAAAACUGCUCGACUAGAGUUUGAUAGAGGAAAGCGGAAUACAUAGUGUAGAGGUGAAAUUCGUAGAUAUUAUGUAGAACACCAGUUGCGAAGGCGGCUUUCUGGAUCAACACUGACGCUGAGGCGCGAAAGUAUGGGUAGCAAAGAGGAUUAGAUACCCUCGUAGUCCAUACCAUAAACGAUGAUUGCUAGAUGUUGGAAAUUUUAUUUUACUAGUAUCGCAGCUAACGACAUAAGUACAACUACCGCCGUCGGGGUAGGUACGGACCGACCGAACGGUUAAAACGUUAAAACGGUAAAGUUAGUACGGUCGUGAGACGUUGUCCGAGGACGACGACGAGGGGAGGAGG
rnacentral:rRNA from 1 species